GAUUAACGCUAGCGGCAGGCCUAAUACAUGCAAGUCGAACGGUAACAGGUGUAGCAAUACAUGCUGACGAGUGGCGCACGGGUGCGUAACGCGUAUGCAACCUACCUAUAACUGGGGAAUAGCCUUCUGAAAGGAAGAUUAACACCGCAUAACAUCAUGAAACGGCAUCGUCUUAUGAUCAAAUCUCCGGAGGUUAUAGAUGGGCAUGCGUGACAUUAGCUAGUUGGUGAGGUAACGGCUCACCAAGGCUACGAUGUCUAGGGGGUCUGAGAGGAUGAUCCCCCACACUGGUACUGAGACACGGACCAGACUCCUACGGGAGGCAGCAGUAAGGAAUAUUGGACAAUGGGCGCAAGCCUGAUCCAGCCAUGCCGCGUGAAGGAUGACGGCCCUCUGGGUUGUAAACUUCUUUUAUAUGGGAAUAAACCCCUGGUUUCUACCGGGGCUGAAUGUACCGUAAGAAUAAGGAUCGGCUAACUUCGUGCCAGCCGCCGCAGUAAUAC
rnacentral:rRNA from 1 species